UACGUAGGGGGCUAGCGUUGUCCGGAAUCAUUGGGCGUAAAGCGCGUGUAGGCGGUUCGGUAAGUCCGCUGUGAAAGUCGGGGGCUCAACCCUCGGAUGCCGGUGGAUACUGUCGGACUAGAGUACGGAAGAGGCGAGUGGAAUUCCUGGUGUAGCGGUGAAAUGCGCAGAUAUCAGGAGGAACACCGAUUGCGAAGGCAGCUCGCUGGGACGUUACUGACGCUGAGGCACGAAAGCGUGGGGAGCGAACAGG
rnacentral:rRNA from 1 species